GACGAACGCUGGCGGCGUGCUUAACACAUGCAAGUCGAACGGAAAGGCCCUGCUUGCAGGGUACUCGAGUGGCGAACGGGUGAGUAACACGUGGGUGAUCUGCCCUGCACUUCGGGAUAAGCUUGGGAAACUGGGUCUAAUACCGGAUAGGAGCUAUCUUUAGUGUGGUGGUUGGAAAGUUUUUUCGGUGUAGGAUGAGCUCGCGGCCUAUCAGCUUGUUGGUGGGGUAAUGGCCUACCAAGGCGGCGACGGGUAGCCGGCCUGAGAGAGUGUACGGCCACAUUGGGACUGAGAUACGGCCCAGACUCCUACGGGAGGCAGCAGUGGGGAAUAUUGCACAAUGGGCGCAAGCCUGAUGCAGCGACGCCGCGUGGGGGAUGAAGGCCUUCGGGUUGUAAACUCCUUUCGCUAGGGACGAAGCUUUUUUGUGACGGUACCUAGAUAAGAAGCGCCGGCUAACUACGUG
rnacentral:rRNA from 1 species